CUCGUAGUUGGAUUUCUGGCAGGAGCGACCGGUCACACACUCUGUGCGUGAACUUGUGUUGUCUCUGGCCAUCCUUGGGGAGAUCUUGUUUGGCAUUAAGUUGUCGGGCAAGGGAUACCCAUCGUUUACUGUGAAAAAAUUAGAGUGUUUAAAGCAGGCUUAUGCCGUUGAAUAUAUUAGCAUGGAAUAAUAAGAUAGGACUUCGGAACUAUUUUGUUGGUUUGCGUUACGAAGUAAUGAUUAAUAGGGACAGUUGGGGGUAUUCGUAUUUCAUUGUCAGAGGUGAAAUUCUUGGAUUUCUGAAAGACGAACUACUGCGAAAGCAUUUACCAA
rnacentral:rRNA from 1 species